rnacentral:lncRNA from 1 species
CUGUGCCUAUCUUCUGCAUAGCUCACCCAGUUCUCCAAACUUCCUCAGUUUUAUCAAUUAGUCGCCGUCCCAUUCGCCGUUUACUUAUGCUUAAUCUUUCAAGCAUCUCUUUCUUUAGAAACCAAUUCCGUAACAUUGCUACUCUUCAUCUUAAACCAAAACAAUUAUAGUAGCAAACACAUUAUACCAGUAAUUCAAGUCCGCUACAGUCUUAUUCACUUCCAAAUACCCAAAGUUCCCAACCUUGCCCAGAAUUUAAGAAUCCCAUAAAACCAAGUUCACUAAACCAAUUUAAUUGUCCUGAUUCUCAAGUCAGCAUGAAUUUUCUUUGUGUCUAAAAUUUCCUUAUUUUGACAUUAUUCCAGAGAACUGACAAGAGACAAAACCAGCAGAAUUCAUUACCUUUUCAAGAAUUGACAUGGCUUCUUUUGUUGCACUCUUCUCCCUCUCUACAUAACAAAGGAAGCAUUUUUAUCAAUCACCACACUGCCCAGACUAUCCCAAACAAUCAAAUUAAAAAUUUUCAAAAACCCAGAUGCAAAUUACAUAAAUAAAUGCCAGAGAAGUACAAAAAUAGCAAAAAAGAAAAAAAAAGUUUCUGGACAGAAGAGAUGGGAUGAGAGGCCUUACUGAUGGGGCAAGUGAUGAGGAAUCCGGAGUAGGAAUGACUGAGGAGAGAAGAGGGGCGUUGUAGUCAAAACGAGGAAUGGUG